AGCUCAUGAUCCUAGACUCUGCCCGACAGCCCAGCCUCUAUGAAGUCUUCUGGGGCAACUCCUCACUCCUUAACACCCAAUGCUUAUCUUUUGUUAGUAAAGAGUAACUUGACUCGGAUUUGUACCCCUUGCCCAUUGUAAGGAAUAACAAUAAAUAGUUAAUGAAUGAAUAAAUUGGUGAUUUGGGAGGUGGUACAAGGAAAGGAAUAUGAGGGAAGUACUAUUUAUUUAGCACAUUUGAACAACCCUGCUGAGUAGGCAUGAUCUCUCUCACUUCACAAUUGAGGAAACUGAGGGUCAGAGAGGAUUAAUAACUUAUCCAAAGUCACAUAGCCAGGAAGGGGCAGAGCAAGGUUUAGAAUCCAGG
rnacentral:lncRNA from 10 species